GAGCAGCGUUCAACCUGGGAAAGUGUUGUUUCUUUUUGUUCUCUUUGCACAGCAAGUUGUGUUUGGUGUUAUGUCGCAUGCAAGGGGAAAAACAGGUUGCUAGACAAGAAAACACACCCAGUGUGUGCGUGUGUGUGUGUGUGUUGCAAUGAAACUUACUCAUUCAAGUGGAAUAGACAAACGACGAGUGCACAACACAACGAUCUUUGAUUCGUGAUAUUUUAGAAGAUACACGUUGUUCUUUACAACAUUCCGUUUAAGUCAGUGAACGCAACCCCGGAAGAGACACGUAGAGGCUCCACAGUGUCUCUCCUGGAACCUCAAUCACCGCUGCACUGAGUCUUGUCGAGGCUUUCGAAGUCCAUGAGCGGAUUUUAUUCUUAUUUCCUCUUUUUUCUCCCGGGUAUAUAUGCUGAUGACGAGCCAAACGUAUGCCGAGCUCCAUCAUACAGACUAGGAACAUCAAAAGUCAAAGAUCCGGCCCGGGACACUAAAAAAUGAGAACGCCUGCUGAGAAUUGAAGUUGGAUUUUUAAGUUGCUUAGAGUUGUCCAAAACAAAGUUGACUAUGACUAUUAUAGUGGACUUUGAGGAGUGUUUGAAAGAUUCACCUCGCUUCAGAGCUGAAAUCGAGGCUGUUCAGGUGCAUGUGGGUGAACUAGAGACGCGGUUAGACAAGCUGGUGAAACAAUGUCAGGCCAUGCUGGAGGCCGGCCGAGUCUACUACCAGACCAGCAAGAGCUUUGUGAGCGGUCUACAAGGUCUUGGACAGCACUGCUCAGGAGACACCAUGAUGGAGGAGUGUUUGCGGACCUUUUCUGAAAAACUGUCCCUCAUUCUGGAGUCCCAGGGGGAGGUGAUUGACAUCACACAAAAGUCGGUCAAGAUGAAGCUGCAGAACUUUGUGAAAGAAGACGUUCGUCGUUUUAAGGAUGCACGCAAGGAGUUUGAGCGCAGCAGCGAAUCCCUCGAGGGGGCACUGGCGAGGAAUGCUCAGGCCCCUCGCGGGAAGCCCCAUGAGGUAGAAGAGGCCAACAACGCUCUGCUGAAUUCUCGCAAGGCUUUCCGCUCAGGCGCCCUGGACUACGUCCUGGAGAUAAACAUCAUUGAGGCCAAGAAGAAGACUGAACUGCUCAAUGCAAUGUUGUCAAUGAUGGAUGCUCAGGCCCAGCUGUUCCAAAAUGGCCACCAGUCUCUGGCACAACUUGACCGGUAUCGACAAAAACUGAGCGAAGAGCACAAGCAGUUUGUCCUCAACUCUGCACGGGAGAAGCGGGACAUGGAGCAAAGACACUCCGCCAUCAAAAAAAAGGAUGUCUCCUACGACGACUCCAUGAUGGACUUCAAUCCUGAUGCCGCUGACGGGGUGGUGAUGGAGGGCUACCUCUACAAGAGGGCCAGCAACGCCUUCAAGACGUGGAGCAGGCGCUGGUUCUCCAUCCAGAAAAACCAGCUGGUAUAUCAGAAGAAAUUCAAGGAGCAGCCCACGGUGGUGGUGGAAGACUUACGUCUCUGCACAGUCAAGCCCAGUGCCGAGAAUGAGCGACGCUUUUGUUUUGAAGUGGUCUCGCCGUCCAAGAGCUGUCUGCUGCAGGCCGACUCUGAGAGGCAGCAGCAGGCGUGGAUGAAAGCCGUCCAGAAUAGCAUUGCCUCGGCCUUUCAGGAGCGCAGAGACGACCACCACAGUCCACGGCAGCGUAGCAACUCCGCGUCAGUGAACUACCCAGGCGUAGGAGGCGUGGCCCGACAGGAGAACGAGGGCUUCAAGGCCCUGGAGGAGGUUCAGGUCAUUGCAGGGAACAGGGAGUGCUGCGACUGCGGAACACCAGGACCUGACUGGGCCUCCAUCAACCUGGGCAUCACACUCUGCAUCGUGUGCUCAGGAAUACACAGGAGCCUGGGGGUCCAUUUCUCCAAAGUGAGGUCCCUCACGCUGGACUCCUGGGAGCCAGAACUCAUUAAGCUGAUGUGUGAAUUAGGCAACAGCGUCAUCAACAGGAUCUAUGAGGCACGCAUUGAUGAGAUCACCUUGAAGAAGCCCCUUCCCUCCAGUCCCAGGGGGGACAAGGAGGCCUGGAUUAAGUCCAAAUACGUGGAGAAGAAAUUCAUCCAGAACCUAUCGCACACAAACUACGGCGCCAAGAGAAACCGGGCGGCCACACAGGACCGUAACGCACCAAAACCGCCGCUCAAACCCAAACCAAGCCGAGCCACUCUUCCUCGUUCCACAGGACCGAGUGAGGUCCGGAAGAAUAACGCUGGCUCCCACAAAGAUUUGAACGACGAGGAGGAAGAUCUAAGCAGCCUUCACCCGGGGGCGCUGCUGUACCGCUCGGCCGCUCUGCAGAACUUCCCCGUUAUGGCGGACGCGUUGGCCCACGGCGCCAACGUCAACUGGGUCAACGCGGCUGAGGAAUCCCGCACGCCGCUCAUAGAAGCCGUCUCAGCGAACGCCCUGGCGGCCUGCGAGUUUCUGCUGCAGAAUGGCGCCGACGUCAACCAGGUGGACGCCAACGGGAGAGGGCCUCUUCAUCACGCCACUGUAUUGGGACACACAGGGUUGGUGUGUCUCUUCUUGAAGCGAGGUGCAGACUACAACGCCAGAGACGACAAACAGGAGGACCCCAUCACCAUCGCAGUGGACACUGCCAAUGCAGACAUUGUCACUUUGCUGCGGAUCGCCAAGAUGAACAGGGAGAUGCAGGAGAUGGACGGAGCGCUUGGAAAAUCAGGUCUUUUAAAGGGGCAGGCGACUGGAAGCAGUGAGACAGGAAGUAGGCAGGGCCAAAGCAGGAAAAGCCUGCAUGCGUUAAGGAGCCACAAAAGUGGUUGGGCUGUGUGAGGCUUGAUUAGUCAAAUAUAGUAAUAAUACUAAUUGGGCUAAUUCUGAUUCCAACGGGCUUGUUUUUGCUCGCUCUACUGGUUUUACAGUGCAGUUUUAUUUGUCUACCAUGCAGAAUAACGUUGUCUCAUUUGAGACGGAAAAAAAAAACACUUAUUCACUGGAAAGGCGUAAAAGCUACUUUUACACACUAGCGCCUUAAACAAGUCUUCCACAGUCCAUUGUCCCUCGUUGCACUUUGGAUUCAAGUCGUCCUUUGUUUAUAGCUGUUAAUUGGUUCCUGACAGGGCCACGAUAAAUCAAUUCCUGCAAAGUUGGAAUCAUUAAUUAACUUGUUCACAUUCCUUUAAAUAUUUUAAUAUUAUGAGAACCCUCUAGAGAUGAAAUAACACUAUUUAGUUACCUUUCCACAUCCAAUAUAGUAACGCAGUACUGCAUAGCGGUUUGGUUUCAUACAACAGCCAAUACUACUUAUUUCAAUUUAUUUAGCCAUUUUUAUGCUGGAAAAUGAUUAAUUUAGGACCAAAACGUUUUAGAACAGACCUGGGCAAAUUAAGGCCCAUGAAGCUUUUCAAUCUGGCCCGCCGUACAUUCCCAAAUAAUUGUUUUAUAUCUUUAAGAUGGAAAGUGUAGCUGCCAUUAUGAUGUGCAGUGAUGUUUUCUAAUGACCGUAAGUCUUCAACUAUACAAAGUAUUUCAAUGGUUGGAAUCUGCGCUUAUGGAUUAUAUACCAGUUACUAUGGUAAUCUAAUUAGUUACUAUGGUAAUCUAAUUAGUUACUAUGGUAAUCUACGUCACAGCAGCUAAGACGAGGCACCAAGCAGUGUGGGCGGGAAGCGUUUCCACAGACGUAGAAGGAGAUUUUCACAACAAAGUUCUAAAGCUUAGUGAUAUAUCACAUAUAUCAGAUUGUAGGUGGGUUUAUUUUGUACCCUUCGCGUUCAUAUUUCACUGUUUGUUGCAUAUUUGUUGCGUUUCACUUGAUUGUAAAAUAUGUCGAUCGAAAGGGGGUGUGACAUUCAUAUUUUGUCAAUAUUCAGUGUUUUAUCGUUCAUAUAAAAAUUUUAAAUUCCAUUACGUUUUUUAAGGCAGUCUGUCAUAACGUUUUUAGCAUUCAAUCAGACAUUAUUGUGAGGUUUUGUAUUAGUGUUCUUAAAAUAGAUAUACCGGCCCCCAGACACGUUUUUUUCUCUAAAUGUGGCCCCUGAGUCAAAAGAAUUGCCCAGGCCUGUUUUAGAAUAUGCUUUAUAAACCUGCAAUAUGGCGAGGGACAACUACACAUUGUGUGCUCCAAGAAAAAGACAGAAUACUGUGAAACUAGAAGGUUGUAUAAGUACAAUUAUCAAACAAAUGUGUGAACACCAUGUGUGUGUGUGUGUGUGCAGUUAUGGAAGCUAUUAUAUUUUCUUCUGUGAACAAGACCAGAGAAACACACACACAGGCUUGCAUUGUUUGUUAGUCAGGCUUAUGUUGUGCUUCUUGUACAUGCUUUGCGCACAAAUGUGAAGCAUCUGUUGUUUGUGCUUUCAAAAAAAAUAACAAUUACCCCGCUGGUCAGCGUUUGAUUUGCUGUGUCUUUGUGUGUCCUCGCACUCCUGAGGCAAGGAGCUGGUCUCCCCUGCUGCAAACUAUGAGGUGACGAGACCUAUCAGCACAUCUUCAGGGAUUUCUCACACAUGGCUUCCAACAACCCGGAGAAGCUCAAACGUCGCAGUGCGGAUGGCAAAUUCUAAAAGCGUAACAUUUGCAGGCACGGCCUUAAAUGUACAGUAGUCACGUGACGCUCAGCUGACUUUGGAGGGGAUCAACGGCGCAACAGUCACGUCUUUGUGUGCACAACAAUGGCGUCUCAUAUCAGACCCGCUUAACGUGUUUUGCAUUCUGCUUGUUUUAAAAAGAUCUUUUACUUUUCUUUUUUUUGUUCAUAUAGGAAUAAUGAAUUGAAAACUAUUGUCUACAAAUAUAUAUAUAUAUUCACAACACAAUCCAAAAUAAAGACUUCUGUUUUCAAUUUGAAAAUAAGUCAAAUAAGAACUGCACAGUGACACAAAAAUGUUUUUAUCGAGAAGUUGUAUACAAAACAUCAACUUUCACAUUGGAUAGGUUGGUUUAAGACUUGAAUCCCACUGGUUAUUAUCGUUACUGAGGCUUUUUCGCCACGGGAACAUUUUGGAACAUCUUCGUGUGUUUCCACCGGCUUUACCUAGGUAAACAAAAAACUUUUCCAAUGCCAAACUUGCAGGCACUUUUGAGGAGCCUGAAUUUCAGGAACAUUUAAAUGCAGACCACACAGAUGACCAAGUAUGAUUUUCCUAUUUAAAAAGGAGUUCCUGGUAAUUGUGGAAAACAGUAUUGAUUUAUGCUUUAAAAAAGUACAAAAUGCCUCAGUGGACAUAGAGUUAUUAGCAGCAUUCUUGUGUUCCUGAGUGUGUGAAGACCAACACAGACAAAGCAGAUCAUUAAGAUUCUUUUCGGUGUCCAACAAAUGAGACGGUAGCUGUUGGCAACAUUUAGUCAUCAAUGUCCUCCACACAGCAAGAUAGGUAGUUUGUGCGUCAAUAAUUUCACACCACUUGGAAAGAAGUGUGUGUGUGUUAGCAAGAAAUUAAAUACCACACCACGCCAUUCACCUUCAACGUGAAAUUAAGAUUGAAUAUGCUUCAAAUUUGUGUGUAAAUAAAAAAAAAUAAGAAUCAUAACAUGUGGAGUAAGCAACACCAAAAUCUUUUUGUCACAUCUCAGUGAUUCACCUCACAAGGAGUCUGAUUCAUUCGCUCCGUCUCCGAGGCUGGACCCUCGCAUUUGUCCUCCUGGUGGGGUCCUUGCACAGGAGGUGGAUCCGUGCAGGAGAAGUAGUGUGGCAGGGUGGUCAUUAUCAAGCUGCUGAGGAUGAGGAAGGAGCCCGACACCACGAAGGAGGCCAUGUAGUCUCCUGUGACGUCCUUGAGCAGCCCUGCGGGACAAAAUGUUGCCAUUAGAAGUGAACACACACAAAAAAGUGUGUUAUUGGAAACAAGAGUGUGAGAUAAAAAGCCCAUCAUGUAUCAUUAGAUACAACCAACUCAUUUGGG